rnacentral:rRNA from 1 species
UAACCUGCCCAUUGAUAUAAAUUUAAUGGCCGCGGUAUUAUGACCGUGCAAAGGUAGCAUAAUCAUUAGUCUUUUAAUUAGAGGCUUGUAUGAAUGGUUGGACAAAAGAAAAACUGUCUUCUUUAAUAAAAAUUGAAUUUAACUUUUAAGUGAAAGGGCUUAAAUAUUUUAAAGGGACGAUAAGACCCUAUAAAGCUUUAUAAAGAAUAAAAUUAGGUUAAGGUUUAGUUUAUUAAAAAUUAAGGUUUAUAUUUUUAUUAGGUUGGGGCAACAAAGGUAUAAUUAUAAGUAACUGCUUUGUUUAUAGACAAAAAUAUUUGUAUUUAAGUUAAU